rnacentral:rRNA from 1 species
GUGAAGGUAGAGCGAAAUGCUUCGGUGUGGAGCUUUAUUGGAAAGUGGCGAACGGGUGAGUAACACGUGGGUGACCUGCCUCGAAGUGGGGGAUAACCAUUGGAAACGGUGGCUAAUACCGCAUGGUCCUGUUGGUAUGGGAAUAUCAGCGGGUAAAGCUCCGGCGCUUCGAGAGGGGCCUGCGCCCGAUUAGUUAGUUGGUGAGGUAACGGCUCACCAAGGCGAUGGUCGGUAGCUGGUCUGAGAGGACGAUCAGUCACACGGGAACUGAGACACGGUCCCGACUCCUACGGGGGGCAGCAGUGAGGAAUAUUGCACAAUGGGGGCAACCCUGAUGCAGCAACGUCGCGUGGAGGAUGAAGGUCUUUGGAUUGUAAACUCCUUUUUUCGGGGAAGAGGAAGGACGGUACCCGAAGAAUAAGUCACGGCUAACUACGUGCCAGCAGCCGCGGUAAUACGUAGGUGGCGAGCGUUAUCCGGAAUUACUGGGCGUAAAGGGCACGCAGGCGGCCUGAUAAGUCUGACGUGAAAGCUCCUGGCUUAACUGGGAGAGGUCGUUGGAAACUGUGAGGCUUGAGGUAAUGAGAGGGGUGCGGAAUUCCCGGUGUAGUGGUGGAAUGCGUAGAUAUCGGGAGGAACACCAGUGGCGAAAGCGGCACCCUAGCAUUGACCUGACGCUCAUGUGCGAAAGCGUGGGGAGCGAACGGGAUUAGAUACCCCGGUAGUCCACGCCGUAAACGAUGAGCACUAGGUGUGGGUAGUGUUAAAACUAUCUGUGCCGAAGCAAACGCGAUAAGUGCU